rnacentral:rRNA from 1 species
CCUACGGGAGGCAGCAGUGAGGAAUAUUGGUCAAUGGACGGAAGUCUGAACCAGCCAAGCCGCGUGCAGGAAUACGGCUCUAUGAGUUGUAAACUGCUUUUAGACAAGGGUAAAACUGAAUACGUGUAUUUCGCUGAAAGUACUGUACGAAUAAGGAUCGGCUAACUCAGUGUCACCAGCCGCGGUAAUACGGAGGAUCCAAGCGUUCUACGGAUUUAUUGGGUUUAAAGGGGGCGUAGGCGGAUUUGUAAGUUAGAGGUGAAAGGUUCGGGAUUAACUCGGGAACUUCCUCUGAUACUGGUGGUCUAGAGAGUAGAUGCGGUAGGCGGAAUGUAUGGUGUAGCGGUGAAAGGCUUAGAGAUCAUGCAGAACACCGAUUGCGAAGGCAGCUUACCAAUCUAUAUCUGACGUUGAGGCACGAAAGCGUGGGGAGCAAACAGGAUUAGAUACCCGUGUAGUC